UAAUGGCAGCCAUGUGGCGGGGCCAAUUA
rnacentral:sRNA from 1 species